rnacentral:ncRNA from 2 species
GUAACUUUGCACCGCAAAGGUUCACAAAGGGUCGGGCAGACCCGGCGUGAUGAAAAGGGAAUGCCGUGAAAAUCGGCAGCAGUUCCCGCUGCUGUAAGUCCCGUAAGGAGGUUGCGACACGCUUUGGCCACUGGUCCCGCAGGACCGGGAAGGCGUUGCAACCGGGACGAGCCAGAAGACCUGCCUUGCACUUCCCGUCGGG